GGGGUUGUGGCUCAGAGGUAGAGCACUUGCCUGGCAUGUAUGAGGCACUGGAUUCAAUCCUCAACACCA
rnacentral:tRNA from 1 species